ACAGUCUUCUCUCUGGCUCACUCUCUGUCUCUCUCAAUAUUAGGGCACGGAGAGGCACCACUGGCUACCAUUCAGACACCCACUGGCCACCGUCACUGGCCUCACUGUGUUUUUCCUCAGAACUGAUGCUGCUCUGCUUCUGCUGGAUAGCUUCUCAGAACCGACUGCUCUGCUUCCGCACUGCUUCUCAGAACCGGCUGCUCUACUUCCGUACUGCAUAGCUUCUCUGCGCUGCACUGCUCGCUGAAGAACCUUAGUCACGAUGCCACCAACAGCACCGCAAAGUGUGAAGGUCACUACGUUGCUCCUACUCUUCUUCUCCUCGGCGCUGCUCCUCCUAUUCUUCCCCUGUUCCUUUCUUCUCGGCGCUUCUCAUCUUUUUCUCCUCAGCUUUGAUGCUCUUUUGGUGAGGAAGGUCACAAGCCCCAGCUCAGCCACUCUUCUUCUUCUCGGUGCUGGUUUUGCAGAAAUUGAGGAAGGACAAGAACAUAAAGAAGGAAGAGGAGGGAAAGGAAUUAAUAGCGAAGAAGAAGUGGUUGAAGUUGAACUUGAGGAUGCAACAAAGGAAGAAGAAUUGGCAAAUGCAGAUGAACUGAACAGAAAGUUUGAAAAGUUCAUAAGGAAAAUGAAGGAGGAGAUCAGGAUUGAAGCUCAAACACCAUGUAUGUGUUUCUGUUCCUCACUAAUGAAUAACUCUUUUUUCCUUUUAUUACAAUAAUGUUAUAUAUAUGUGAGUAAGCUCUUAAUAACUAGUGUAUAAGUUUCUUGGUUUUAUAACCACGUCAUGCUUCUUCUAUAGUCUUUUCUUCUUGCUCUUCUACCUCUCUAUCACUUUCUUUAGUUAUUUGGCAAGAGUAUUUGGAAGUGUAGAAAGGGAAGGCCUUCUAUGACUUCCAGUUCAACACAAGGCUUGUAAAAUCCAUAAUUGUGUAUUUUUAGGUAGAGACUUUGUUCAUUUAUACUUAAACUUUGCUAAUUCUUGGGAAUUUUUUGGGAAAGUGGGCUAUUUCAUUUGCGCUUCUAUAUGUUUGAUUUGAAUAGAGCUUGUAAUCAUUUAAAAAUUAUUAAAAACCGUAAAUCCCUGCUUGUGUUCCUUGCUUGGAUAAAUUUUCAUCAUAUAGUUAAUUUUUUUCUUCUUUGGAAAGAUUUAAUCAUGUGGAUGUUUGCUACACUGCACCCAGGGAGUUCUUAUAUUUGCUAUGCAUAAUUUCUAGUGUCCAUUUUAGCUCAUUACUAGUCAUUAAUUUCUGGAUUGCAGAUCAUGAUAUAAAACAAACACAUGCUCUAAUAUGUACCAAAUUCUGAUUAAUAAUAUUCUGAUUAAUAAUGUUAUAUUUUAUGCUUUUUAGUAAUACUUUAGUGCUUGUAAUUUGCAAGGUUACCAAUGAUGCUGCUAUUCAUUUCCAUGCUAAUGUUGAAUAACCUUUGAUUAUUCCUUUCAUUAUACUAAGAGAACUCCUUUAACUAUAAAUUGUGCAAAUUUUGAUCUGUUUUAGAGAUUUAUUUAUUCUUUAUCAAAAUAUGCAUUUGGACGGUUUUGAUUUGGUGUGACAUGAUCAACUUUACCGCUUCCUUGUGAGGAGGACCGGCAGCAAUUUCAAUGUCGUGACACUGAAUCGCUUGUUCACGAACAUGGUUAACUGGCCUCUGCUUUCUCUGUCAUGCUUGAUUAAGUUCAUGAAGGGUAAGGUUUGUUUUUCCCUCUCUUAUCUUUCUCAGUGGUAAGAUAGGAAUUCUUUGUUUUUUCGAUGCAGGAAGGUAAAGCCGUGGUAGUGGGAAUUGUAACCGAUGAUAUCAGAAUGUAUGAAGUUCUUGCAUUGAAAGUUACUGCACCCAGGUUUAUAGAGACUGCACAUGCUAGAAUAGAGAUGGCUGGUGAUGAAUGCUUGACAUUUGAUCAGCUUGCACUUAGGGCACCUCUCGGACAGAACACGGUUCUUUUUAGAGGCCCAAAGAACUCCAGGAAAGCUGUAAAAUACUUUGGUCCUGCUCUUGGUGUUCCUCACAGCCAUACCAAGCCUUAUGUACGAUCUAAGAAAAGGAAGUUUGAGAGGGCUAGAGGAAGGAAGAACAGCAAAAAACUUAGGAUUUAUGUUGUAUUGUUUCUUUAUUUUUCUUUAGUUUUUAGUUUUGGAAUUUAACCCUUUCUCCCAUAUCCUAGAAUUGAAGACAGUUGUCUUAAUGAUAACUGUUGCUGAAAUAUUGAUAAAUGGGCCUGCUUUUAUGCGCAGGUUGAGAAGCUUGUUGAGAAAUCAGAGUUUUGAACUCGAAA